rnacentral:rRNA from 1 species
CGUGAACGCUGGCGGUAGGCCUAACACAUGCAAGUCGAACGGCAGCACAGUAAGAGCUUGCUCUUACGGGUGGCGAGUGGCGGACGGGUGAGGAAUACAUCGGAAUCUACUUUUUCGUGGGGGAUAACGUAGGGAAACUUACGCUAAUACCGCAUACGACCUACGGGUGAAAGCAGGGGAUCUUCGGACCUUGCGCGAUUGAAUGAGCCGAUGUCGGAUUAGCUAGUUGGCGGGGUAAAGGCCCACCAAGGCGACGAUCCGUAGCUGGUCUGAGGGGAUGAUCAGCCACACUGGAACUGAGACACGGUCCAGACUCCUACGGGAGGCAGCAGUGGGGAAUAUUGGACAAUGGGCGCAAGCCUGAUCCAGCCAUACCGCGUGGGUGAAGAAGGCCUUCGGGUUGUAAAGCCCUUUUGUUGGGAAAGAAAAGCAGCAGGUUAAUACCCCGCUGUUCUGACGGUACCCAAAGAAUAAGCACCGGCUAACUUCGUG